UUACCAAAAACAUCGCCUCUUGCAAACGAACGAAUAAGAGGUCCCGCCUGCCCAGUGACUAUAUGUUAAACGGCCGCGGUAUUUUGACCGUGCAAAGGUAGCGUAAUAAUUUGUCUUUUAAAUGAAGACUAGUAUGAAUGGCGCCACGAGGGCUUAGCUGUCUCCCCUCUAAAGUCAAUGAAAUUGAUCUCCCCGUGCAGAAGCGGGGAUAUGCUCGUAAGACGAGAAGACCCUAUGGAGCUUUAGACUUAUGCAACCCACAUCAAACACCCCCCAAAGGAAACAAACAGGGUGGCCCUUGCUGAAAUGUCUUCGGUUGGGGCGACCACGGGGAAAAACAAAACCCCCACAUGGACAGGGGCCACAUACACCCUAAAACAUAGACCCACAGGUCAAAUCAACAGUACUUCUGACCACCAAUGACCCGGCGCAAGCCGAUUAAUGAACCUAGUUACCCUAGGGAUAACAGCGCAAUCCCCUCCGACAGCCCUUAUCGACGAGGGGGUUUACGACCUCGAUGUUGGAUCAGGAC
rnacentral:rRNA from 1 species